CCUACGGGAGGCAGCAGUGGGGAAUAUUGGACAAUGGGCGAAAGCCUGAUCCAGCAAUUCCGCGUGUGUGAAGAAGGCCUUCGGGUUGUAAAGCACUUUAGUUGGGGAAGAAACAGCUUGGCCACACCAAGCCUUGACGGUACCCCAAAGAAUAAGCACCGGCUAACUCUGUGCCAGCAGCCGCGGUAAUACAGAGGGUGCAAGCGUUAAUCGGAUUUACUGGGCGUAAAGGGUGCGUAGGUGGUUUUGUAAGUCGGAUGUGAAAGCCUGGGGCUCAACCUCAGAAUUGCACUCGAUACUGCAAGACUAGAGUUCGGUAGAGGGCGGCGGAAUUCCCGGUGUAGCGAUGAAAUGCGUAGAUAUCGGGAGGAACAUCAAUGGCGAAGGCAGCCGCCUGGGCCUGAACUGACACUGAGGCACGAAAGCGUGGGUAGCAAACAGGAUUAGAUACCCUGGUAGUCCACGCUGUAAACGAUGAGAACUUGACGUUGGUUCGUUUUACGAAUCGGUGUCGCAGCUAACGCGAUAAGUUCNCGCCUGGGGAGUACGGCGCAAGGUUGAAACGUCAAAGGAAUUGACGG
rnacentral:rRNA from 1 species